rnacentral:rRNA from 1 species
CAAGUCGAACGAUCACUCAUGUGUAGCAAUAUAUGUGAGUGGGAGUGGCGCAAGGGUGAGGAACACGUGGGUAAUCUGCCUUCUAGACUGGAAUAGCCCGGCGAAAGCUGGAUUAAUUCCGGAUGUUGUCGGUUGACGCCUGUCAACCUGUCCAAAACCGGGGGACCGCAAGGCCUGGCACUAGAAGAUGAGCCCGCGUCCUAUCAGCUUGUUGGUGAGGUAACGGCUCACCAAGGCUUACGGGUAGCUGGUCUGAGAGGAUGGUCAGCCACACUGGGACUGAGACACUGCCCAGACUCCUACGGGAGGCUGCAGUCGAGAAUCUUUCGCAAUGGGCGCAAGCCUGACGAAGCGACGCCGCGUGCAGGAUGAAGGCCUUCGGGUUGUAAACUGCUGUUUUCAGGGAUCAAUGACUGUGCAUUAACACUGCAUGGAAGUGAUAGUACCUGAGGAGGAAGCCACGGCUAACUCUGUGCCAGCAGCCGCG